CAAGUAUGAAAGACGGUUGCGAGUCCAUUGGACUCGAGGAAAGUCCGAGCUCCAUAGGGCAGGAUGCCAGAUAACGUCUGGCGAGGGUGACCUUAGGGAAAGUGCCAUAGAAAAGGAAACCGCCACGUCAGUGGUAAGGGUGGAAAGGUGAGGUAAGAGCUCACCAGCAGUCUGGUAACAGGCUGGCUCGGUAAACCCCAUCCGGAGCAAGACCGAAUAGGGAAGGGU
rnacentral:RNase_P_RNA from 2 species